AAGUCGUAACAAGGUUUCCGUAGGUGAACCUGCGGAAGGAUCAUUAGCGAAGUUCGGAAUGCAUGUUCGGUGUUGAUGCUGCCCAGCAAUGGGAUGUGCUCGCUCGGAUGUGUGUCCCUUCUCUAUCCACCCCACUGUGAACCAAGUGUGUGAGCCGAAGAGAAAUCGGACGCUCGCAUGCAAACCUUUAACAUACCCCAAUUAAGUAUCAGAAUGUACCUUGCGUUAACUCGCACAAAUAUAACUUUCAACAACGGAUCUCUUGGCUCUC
rnacentral:misc_RNA from 1 species